rnacentral:tRNA from 1 species
GCGCCGGAAGUGUGAGGCGUAGCAUCGCUGCCCGUAAAGCAGAAGGUGAGAGUUCGACUCCCGCCCGGCGCA